UAGCGGUUACUCCGGGCGGGCAGUUCAAACAGGAGGAGGGUCAGGCGGCUGCCCCACUCGAAGCUGGCGUGGGGGUUGCCAUAGCCCGCAUCCCAGGGGACGAGGCCGAGGCUCUUCCCUGGCGCUUUCAGCGGCGGCUGCCCGGCUCCUCUCCCACCUGUGCUCCUCGGCGCCUCGCCCGGCUCCGCGGCCUCCAGGCGGGCGGCGCGGGGAUCCCAGACGAGUAUCAGCUAGCGGGUCUCCAGGCGGCCCUGGCCGCAGCCCCGGCCCCGUGUCCCCUGUGCCUUGCAGGUGCUGAGCCUAGGGAGGCCGGCGCACGGCAGCCCUCACUCCUCCGCUCCAGGUGACGUCUGCCCGCCCCCCGCCGCUGGCUUUCUGGGCCCAGCGGUUCUUUGACGCCCUGGUGAGACCGUUACCCACCCGCCCUCCAUAGCUCCUCGGGGGAGUCAGUGCCGGGCUGCAGCACACAUUGCCUUUGCAGGGACCCGACUUUGGGGAGUUUGCUCAGGUCCCAGUCCAGCUAGAGAAAACAAGGAUAUUAAGAGAACUACUUUCUGGAGGGCUGAAGGAAAUUCAAAAUGAUUUAGACCUUCUCAUGUGUUAGAAAUAAUCCCUGCGGCAUGCACCCUGCGUCCCCUUCGAGUUUGAGCAACCAUCGUGCUGCUGCACCUUCCCAUUAAUUGUUCGAACGAAAGCUUUUCUCUUUAAGUGACAUUACUUUGGCAUGAAUUUUAAAGGCAAAAAUGAGAGAAUUUCUUGUUUGGAAGCCUACAUAACUUUGACGUCCAAGAGAUCCAGAUUUACUGAUGAAACAGAGAUUUUGAAGAUGUCACAAAGGCACUCAGGUCAAGCUAGCAGUGAAGCAGGAAAUGGGGUGGAUUGUCCUCCAGUUGUCAACUCCAAGUACUCUACCUUCAGAGAUUGUUGUUCCACAUCUUCACUUCAAGAUAAUGGCUACAGUGAGUUAAAAUCUUGUAGCUUUGAUAAUACAGACAAAGACUAUCUUGGAAAAAAAGAAAAAGGCCCAGCAUUACUACAUGAGCACCCUGAAACUUCAAGCCUGGACUUAACACAUCCUUUAGAGUCUCCCACCCAAAAAAAGAAAUUUAUCUUGCUUAGAAAGGAAAAGGAUAAAACCCCAGAACUUUGUGAAACACCUAAAAUCAGUGACAAAAAAUGUUUACCUCGCAGAAGGUUGAAUCUAUCUUUCUCUCUUCUAAAGGGGGACUUUGAAUCACAAAAUAGUUCUUUAGAAAGUAGUAUAAGCCAAGUUCUCAACUUAGAAAAAAAUAUUCCAAGCAGUGCUUCAGGUUUGUCCAGGCCAAAUAAUUUUAGCCCUUUAGUUACUAGCACUUUAAAAACAGAAGAAGUGACUUUGAGCAGUCAAAAAUUGAGGUUUAAUUUUUCUCAGCAAAAGACUUCCACAAUUGAUGAUUCCAAAGAUGAUUGUAACCUAUUUGAAGUUGACUGUAUAUCUCCAAUUCAAGGCAAUAAUUUUAAAGACUCUAUCACACAUGACUUUAGUGAUAGCAGUUUAUGCAUUAAUGAUGAGAAUACAUGUCCAGAGCCCCUGGGCUCCUCUGUUAGUGGAACAACUUGUGGAACAGAUGAGGACAUAUUUGUGACUCCAAUAAGUAAUCUUGUAUCAAACAUUAAAUUUAAUGCAAUUCAAAUACUUUCUCCUUCACCUGAAGUGAAGGGCAAUAUUUCAACGCCUGAAGACAGUGGUUUUAACUCACUUAGCUUGGAGAAAUCAGAAUAUUCCCUCUCUGACCAGGAGGGUUCUUUUCAAGAACUAUUCCAGAAACAUAAGGGGACUCCCAAAGUGGGGGACACCAUAAGAAAGACAAGGCAUCUUAAAAGGUCGAGAAGACUGUCCACCCUUCGGGAGCAAGGCUCACAGUCAGAGACAGAAGAGGAAAAGCAGAUUGUCCACCCUGGCUCUGAAAAAAGAGCAGCAGCUGCUUCUGCUAUCUCAGAGGGUCAACUGAACAGUGAUGAGAGUGGGGAUUCAACCUUUAGUUUAAAGAAUUUAUCAAAGACCCCAGCCUUGCAAUUGGUGCAUGAGCUCUUCAUGAAAAGCAAAAGAAAAAGAAGCCAGCAAAAUAGUGGACAUGAAUUCUUAGAGGAAGGGGAUGGGGGGAAAAUAGCUGUAUUACAGUGUAUACUUGCAGGACUGAUUGGCAAGAAGAUGGGUAUAGAAAAACUGGAUAUCUUAACAGAAUUGAAAUAUAGAAAUUUAAAGCAUAUUCUUGCUAUGGUUUUAGAUUCCUUGACUGCAGAGAGCCUAUGCAGUGUUUGGAAGGUAAGCAGAAAUUGGCGUGAAAUUGUUGUUCAAGAUAAAAAUGCAAAUCGGAGGAGGAAAUUUUAUAUUACGCAACUGAAAACAGAUUCUGAGGGGGCUGCAUUAAAUGUUGAGGAUGCUGCCACUCGGCUCCAGCUUUUAAAUCGCUCAGCUUUAAGAUCUGUGCAGGCACAGGCUAGGAUACCUGGUUCUCAGAGAGAGCAAGGGUCAACAUUUUCUCCCUGGGGAGAAGUUUUGACACCUCUAGCAAGCUCUUCUGUUACUCACUUAAGUAGUAAGCAGGAAGAAUAUGUUAAGGUUGCCAAAACACUUUUUAUUGAUGAAGCAAUAAAACCUUGCCCAAGGUGCCAAUCCCCUGCUAAGUACCAGCCAUAUAAGAAAAGGGGACUGUGUAGCCGCACAGCCUGUGGUUUUGACUUUUGUGUGUUAUGUUUGUGUGCUUAUCAUGGGUCUGAAGAAUGUAGUAGAGGAGCAGCAAAGCCAAGAAAUAGAAAAGAUGCUGUCCCAGGAAGUGCCCAGAGCUGGAGUGCAGUCGCAUGAUCUCACAGGAUCUUGGCUCACUGCAAACUCUACCUCCCAGGUUCAAUCAGUUCUCCUGCCUUAGCCUCCAGAAUAGCUGGGAUUACAGGUUCAUUUUCUCUUGCCACUGCUAUGUAAGAAGUGCCUUUUGCCUCCUGCCAUGAUUCUGAGGCCUCGCCAGCCACAUGGAACUAUAAGUCCAAUUAAAUCUCUUUUCCUUCCCAGUCUCAGCUAUGUCUUUGUCAGUAGUGUGAAAAUGGACUAAUACACCAGCCCAUUAGAGUGUAAUCUUUUAUUUCACUUUGGUGGUAAAAAAGAUUUUAUCACAUUUAAUUUUAGAAAUCAACAAUAAAUAAGUGGUUCUCUUUACUACAGUUACUGUGAAACAAUGGAAUUUGAUGUUUUUUAUAUGUCUGGUUUUAUUUGGGAUUUAAAUAUUACAAUGAAGUAGAUACGAAUGAAAUAGUAUAAAGACUGAAUGCCCAUAUUUUAAUGAUUUUUUAAUGAAACCUUCUGAAGAAUAAAGAUCAGAGUAGAACUUCAAAAGGCAUUUCUUUUUGGUGGGUUUUGUAUUUGUGAUGGGUCAAGAGAUACGUAGGUUAACUAGAAGAAUAUCAUACAGUAUUUGUGUACAGCUUUGUCGAACAGAGGAUCCAGCUACCCAGAAAAAAGUAACACUAUUGUUAUUGUGUAUUUUCAUAACUGACUGGACUAGUUAUCCCAGCUGUGUACUUCUGUAGCAGCUUGUACAUCCUCUGUCAUGGCACUUAGUUCACUUUAUUAAAAUCAGUUGUUAACUUUCUUUCCCUGGAAGCUCUGUGAAGUUCUGGACUAUCAUGUUUGAUUUAAAUACCAUUGCAUCCCUAGCAUCUAGCAUAGUGCCAGGAAAGUAAAAGGUGCUUGGUAAAUAGUUAUUGAACUGUUGCUAUUUUUGGUGCUAUUGGUACUUUCAUCCAAGUAAACCAUUAUAAAAUAGUAACCAAUUUUAUCCUAAUAAUUUAUUAAUUUCUUAAUAUUGAAUUUUCAGUGAUUAAUGCUUUAAUACACAAAAAGUGGGAUCUAAAUGAUUUCUUAAAUUAUAUGUAAAUAUAUAGUCAUGAAUAUAUUUGGUCUAAUCAUUCUUUUAGCUGAUCUUUCUUAGAACCAGUUAGGGUGUAAUGGAAGGAUCCUUAGGCUAGAAGUAAAAAAGCUUAGGUUGGUCUCCUAAACUACUUACUAGUUAUUCCCUUAUGCAAGUUACUAUUGUUUCUGAGCCUAUAUCCUUGAUCUAUAAAUAAAAGUUAGGGAAAAGAAAGUUAAAAGGCAUGAUGUAUUGUGAACCCACUCUUGAAACUCUUACACCAAUUUGCAUUACUACACAUUUGGCUGCAUGUAAAUAGAAUCAAGUGAAAUAGCAUUUGUGGGGAUAUCAAACAUAAAACCUUGAUAAUAUUAUCAUCAUACUGAAUGAAACUAUAAAAUCAACUUCUAACCAGCUUGCCAAAAAAGUGUGUGGCUUAGGCUGGGCAUGGUGGCUCACACCUAUAAUCUCAGCACUUUGGGAGGCUGAGACAGAAGGAUCACUUGAGCCCAAGAGUGUGAGACCAGCCUGGGCAGCAUAGUGAGACCCUGUCUCUACAAAAACUUUAAAACCUAGCUGGACAUGGUGGUAUAUGCUAGUCCCAGCUACUCAGGAGGCUGAGGUUGGAGGAUCACUUGAGCCCAGAAAGCCAAGGUUGAAGUGAGCCAUGAUCACAGCAUUGCACUCCAGCCUAGGAGUGAUUAAAAAAAAAAAAAAAAUCACAGAAAGUAGGGGCCAGUAUUCUAACAGGCAGUCUACCAUUAGUACAUAACAAAACUCUUUGUAGAGCUAUUGGUAAACUCAGUACACAUGUAAUUACAAUGUCAUAGAUGGAAAAUUGCUUUCCUAUUUUAGAAAAUAAGUUGGUCUACCUGGGGGGAAAGAAUUCUAACUGAUGAUAAUUUUGCUUGAAUAAAGUAGUUCCUUAACUCCUGAGUAGCUUCAACAACUGUGUUAUUUGAAAAUCUAAAUGAGUUAAAUGAAUAUGCUAUUAUCCAAGACCUCAGCUCAAAAGAAAGAGAACUGUUCCAGUUCCAAAGUCUUUAUAAUUUAAAGACACAGGGCACGAAAACAAGAGUAAGUAUUACUACAUUCCAGUUAAUGCUACAUUCUUAUCAGUUUUAUAUUAAUAUGUGAGGAAAGCAAUGAGAAAAAUUCACCAAACAUUUGUUGAUGGAUAUACUGUGGGCUCCCAAGGAGGUUCCAAAACGAGGAAUGAUUAAAUUUAGCACUUUAUUUUUGCAUUUUGUUUCACUUCUUAACAGGGAUAUAAGAAAAGAAUAGUAUUAAUUAAGAGGAAAGCCAAUUAAUGUUUUACCUUCUGUUGAUUUGGGAUAAUAACCAUUAAAUCUUUUCUCCCUACGGUCUGUUGCUUUGACAGUCUUGCUAACUGAUGGGUAAGAUUAUUCUUCCUAUUUGACUUCUACUUCGUUUCAGGAAAGACAGGUAUUUUCUGUUUCUAACUCCAUAGUUUAGGGAAAAAUGGCCAGAAACUUGUGGCAAAUAAUAUAAAUAGAAACAACACUUUAAGAGCUAUCUGAUAAUUUUAUACUAGCAUUUCUAUGGGUACAAGUAUGGAUUUAUAUUUAUCCUAGCUAUUGAAAGACUUAAGUCUUAUUAUGGAUUUCCUGGAAAUAAAUUAAGGAUUGAAUUGCUCUUGAUAAAAUAUUUUGAUACUUAGCACUGUGUAAAGCUAAGUUUUUCCAUUACCUUUUCUUAGUUUAUGACACAAAGCAAAAUUAUCAUAAAUGUAUGACACAAAAAUUUACUGAACCUUUUAAAAAUGGUGUCUGUUAUGUUCCUGGUUUGCACUACGUUAUUAUGGCUUCAUUUUCAAUUAUUUCAGUUAAAAAUAGUGUCCCAUAUAGAAAAUGCUCUAAGUGUUUUUAAGAAUUGAAAUGGACCCAUUAUUUCUAUAUGGAGAGGGUAAUUAUUUUAAGGAUUGCACGGAACAUUCCUCUAGGGGGCACCAAAGACUUAUUUAUGAUGAUUUUGGCUUUUUUUUUUUUUUUUUUUUUUUUUUUUUUUUUUCCAAAAAACUAUUGUAGUUUUUAUAUAUUUGAUGUUGAUGUGCUGCGACAUUGCCAGAUAGGGGAAAUGUUCCUUGGGUUAAUUUUUAAAGUGUUUACAGAAUAAAUGUGGGUAAUAGUUAUUACUUAGAGUUGGUAAUUAAAAAGUCUUGCGAGAGUGUGCUAUUUUCCUGGAACACCUUAUUGGUUUCCCCAGAACACCUGUUGGUGGGCCCCAGUUUGUGCUUUGGCCGUCUGUGUUUACUUGCCCAACAGCUCUGCACUGCUGGCUCCCUCACCGUGGACUGUGGAGCCAGAGGAGUAGAAGGAGCUGUGGAAACCUGGCAGGUGAGUGCUGUUAUGAAUGGUGGUGGUGUGCUACCAGUGAUUUCCCUCUGGUAUUCUCAUUCCUGCAGAAAGGUAGUGUUCGGUUCAGGUCCUAAUCUCAUCCUGCCUAGAUUACUAUAAAUGCCUCCUAACAUGUUUCUUUCUUCUCAUGUUUCAAACAUAAGAAUCUGAAUUUGGUGAGAUUCAUAUUCUCCCUAUCUGACUCUCUCCUAAAGGUCCACUGCUUGGUUAUUUGUACCAAAAUGUGGCCCCAAUCAUGCUGCUUCCUACUAAAAAUGUAGCAGAAUUUAGAAUCUCCUAAUGGUCCUAACUUUCUAGCAAUCUUUCCCAUCAUUCUACUCUAUACACUUUGUUCUAGCCAAACUAGAUUCCUUGUUUUCUAAACUUCUCAUGUGAUUUCUGUACUUACUUCCUUCUUUCCGUAUUAAAUCACAAAAAAAUCCUGUGAAUCCUUAGUUUCUUUCCAUGAAUCAUUUUCUGAUCUCUCCAACAAGAUGAGAUUUUUUUUACCUUCAUUGAAUGUGGUGUUUAUUUAUACUUUCCUCAUGGUAUUUCUGGCAUGUUGUAUUUAUGCUAAAUUCUUUACUUGUCUUCUACUAUUAGCAAGUUCCUUAAGGACUGUUUUCUCUUUCUCCUUUCUUUAGCAUGGUUUCUCGUGCAUGACAAAAUGUGCAGCAAGUAUUAAUUGAAUUGCUGAAGUAAUGAUGACUGGUGUCAUGUAAUAUGACAAAUUUCAUCCAAAUCUCAAUUUUCUUUACUUUUUCAACUGGUAUCAUGGGGAACUUGAAAUAUAGUUGUUUUUGAGAGAGCUAAAAUAGAGACACCACCCUCUUCAUACUCCCUUUGCUCUCACCCUCCAACUACUUGGAGUUUGGACAGCAUUCUAUUUUUCUAUUCCUCCUUGCCUUUGCCAAUGCUGUUUUCCCUCUUGGAUUGUUGUUCUCUCCCUGCCCGAUGUGUCUUACUCCAACUGGCCUUUGAAGGCUACUCAGGAGUCAUUCAACUUAUCACCUCCCUGCCAUGCCCAGGCUGGUUGUAUCUUUUUCCUCAGCACGGCUGGGGCCCCUUUAUGCUGUGUUAUCACAGCAUUUAUCAGAACUUUUAUGUUUUCCGCAUUAGACAGUGAUUUCCUUUGACCUGUUCUGCGUCCCCAACACUUACUUCGUUUAGUGUCUCAGCACUGAACAGAUGUUCAAUUUAGCAAAAGCCUUCCCUGCCACCUCUUCUGUGCCCAGUCUAACUUAGGUAUACACACAGUGCUAUAGGGCAAAGAGGGAGCACCUAAGUCAAACAGUUCUUCCCUAUUGUUAAAAAUGAGGAAAUGUAGGCUAGACGUGGUGGCUCAUGACUGUAAUCCCAGCACUUUGGGAGGCCAAGGUGGGUGGAUUACCUGAGCUCAGGAGUUCGAGACCAGCCUGACCAACAUGGUAAAACCCUGUCUCUACUAAAAAUACAAAAAUUAGCUGGGCAUGGUGGCGCAUGCCUGUAAUCCCAGUUACUCAGGAGGCUGAGGCAGCAGAAUUGAUUGAACUUGGGAGGCGGAAGUUGGAGUGAGCCAAGUUCAUGUCACUGUACUCCAGCCUGGGCAACAGAAUGAGACUCUGUCCCUUAAAAAAAAAAAAAAAAAAAAAUGAGGAGGUGUCAAGGCUGCUGAUAUAAAAGAUGUCAUUUUUUUCUUCUUUGCUGUGAGGGAUAUAUAAACUGCUACCUCCCUCCUUGUGUACUGAUACAGAGUAGUAUUUGCACUCAUUUUCCAGUUAAUUUGUAAGUACUCUUGAAUUGUUUUAUAGGUGUGUAAAUGUCCCAAGGGCAAGGGCUGUUCUUGCCUCCCUCUAGUGCUCUAGUUUCUGCUACAGGUACUAUAAUCAGAUAGAGACACAGGAAAUGUUGACUAAAACAGCUGUAUAAUCCUGAAACAGUGACACCAAUUAAAAUAUUUAUGUUUUUUCUCUUCUUUCCCCUUGCUGUCAGUAUGCAUACAUUUUUUUUUAUAUAUCUUUACCAUUGGUGGCAAAUUUUCAGUUUGGCCAGGCAGGAAACUAUAUGUCUUACAGAUAUUAUCUCAUUAUGUUAAGAGCAAACAUGUGAGGGUGGUACCAUUAUUAUCUACAAUUUCUCUUCCAGAGAAGGAAACCAAGGCUUAGAGGAGCUUAAAAAUAUGUUCAUUUCACUUUAGUAAAUUUAGAGCUGGAGUGAAAAAAAUGGGAGUUGUUUGAUUCCAGAUAUUUCAUCUUGGCUUUCUACCUGCUCAUACUGCCCUCAUAGCACCCCUCUCCUGCAUCAGCCAGACUUUGGUGCUGCUAACCCCUGAUUCAUUAGGGGUCACUUGCUGUUGAUUUGGCCUUGGGUAAGGAGAUUGAAAAUUCAAGUUAUUGGAGUUCUUUUUUUCUGACCACUGAUAUCUGAUUCAGGGAUUAAAAGUUGAGAUCAUUUAUUUUGACCAAUCUAAUAUUCUUAUGUUUUAAUAACAUAAUCUUUAUUACUUUAUUAAGUGUGGUCCAUUCAUUUGACAAAUAUUUAUUGAGCAUUUACUGUAUUGUGUCAGCCUUUGUUCUAGGUGCUGGGGCUACAGGAGAGACCAACACAGGCCAAAAAAAUCCCUUAGAGCUAAAAUCCAUUUUAAAAAAAGAGAAGAAGAAACAAAGGAAAAGGAGGAUAAGAGAAAAAGAAAGUAUUCUCUACUAGUGAAAAUUACAACAUCCUAAAGCAAUAUUAAGAGUUUUCAAACUUUGAUGAGGGAAGGGUUAAAAAUUGAAUUAUCUCAUCAGUCUGUGCAAGAAACAAAGUAAUGUAAUGGAAUAUAUUGACAAUUAGAAUAAAUCUAAACCAGCAGGUCCAGAUGGUAAUUAUCUUGGGUAAGUUAGGAAGUUGCCUAAUGAAUAUAUUAAACUAAUUAUGUUCCUUUUUCAAAAAAAAAUUUAUGAACUGUUAAGUUAGGAAAUAAGGAGAAAAAAGUUGUUGUCCAGUUAAAUGUCAUAAGGACGUGGGUAGUUGUUAUCCAGUAUAGAUAAGAUAGAUAAUUUGACAAAAGUAAAAAUAACCAAUGAUUAUUUUAAAAAUGGAAAUAAGCAAUAUAUAAAAUUUAUAACCCACAUUUCUAAAUCUUUUUACCACAUGCAGUUACUUUAGAGAUUGGAAUGUGGGGCUGGUACCACAUCAUUCCAGGUGGAGUUGCCAUCCAGCUUCUAGGAAAAACACUCUAAUGCACUGUCCUGUCAUUCUGAGUCAUUUGUGUAUACAACAUUUAAGUAUAGUUUAGUUAUAUAGAAAUAUAUGAAGACAGCCCCAGUGAGAACAGAGGCUAUUCAUUCAGAGCUUGCUAUAUAUAGCCAGGGAGUCAGCCUCCAUCACUUGUAUUUUGCAGAGACUCAAAUAUAGGCAAAGAAUUAGGAAAUCUUUAUAGUGAAAAAAAAAGAGAUGAUUUCAGGCAUGCUCCCAUUGGAGGCUGUUAACAUUGGAAGAUAAAAAUGAGAAUCUAGUGGGCGUCCUAUGUGAUUGAUCUAGGGAACAUGCUUGGCUUUUUUUGUUGGUCUUGAGUGGGAAGAGAGGGCAAAAUUAGGGAAGCUGGCAGUUACCAACCAAGUCCAUGCCAUUCUGAGCCUAUUGCUGCAAAAGUUGUGGUUUGGCUUCCAAGGCUGACUGCUGCCAGAGUUUUGUUAGACAUGGUGUGGCCACUGUCCGUUUGCAUAUUCAGAUUCUCAGCCAUAUAGAUAUCCCACUUCUAUCAAAAAUUAAAAUCACAAUGAUCAUAUGAAUUUUAUCUCUUGGUGCUAUUUCUGUUCACACUCAGAAAAGUUUAGAACAAGGCUUAAGUUGGACCCUACCACACCAAAUUUAAAGAAGGAUUGAUACCUUAAAAUCAUUAAACAACAGGUAGAAUGCCUGAAAAUAUGCUCCUGAUUGUCAAGGAGAUAUUAACAGAUGCUUACACUAGCCAGCCUCUUAAACAGUACUUGGGAGAAUCAUUACAUAAAUUCCUGCAGUUUUUCACCCUAAACAAGCUACAUAAAAUUCCCCAAACCAAAUUAAUCCUUGUACUUCAGAAGUCAGCCUUCGUGGUUUUUGGUUUGAGGCUCAUAUUUGAAACUCUAUAAUCUUUUUCUCUGUUGAUAGCAGCUUAAUAUGGUAUCACUUUUGUCCCACAGCUAUAUUGGUUUCUCAUAUCAUAGUUUUAGCUGUUUUGCAGGGUGACUGUCUGAGAUGUUCUCCAGGAUUCCCCAAGCUGAAUUUCGGGUGUACAAAAAAUCUCUAUGUAAUACCAUCUCAAACAAACCCUUCAAAUUUGCUGAUUAUAUGUCCAGAUUUAGAAUAAACAGAAACUUAAUUUCAUUUAUGUUUAUAUUUUCAUUUCCCAUUAAAGACUUUGAUUUUAAACUAUCUUGGUUUCAACAAUGACAUGGAAAAAAAAAAAGGCUUUUCUACAGUUUUGGAAAAACUGGCUAGGGGCUGGGUGCAGUGGUUCAUGCCAGUAAUCCCACCACUUUGGGAGGCUGAGGCAGGUGGAUUACUUGAGGUCAGGAGUUAAAGACUGGCCUGGUCAACAUGGUGAAAUCCUGUCUUUACUAGAAAAAAAAAUAGCUGGGCAUGGUGGUACAUGCCUGUAGUCCCAGGUACUUAGGAGGCUGAGGCAGGAGAAUUGCUUGAACUUUAAAGGCGAAGGUUGUAGUGAACGGAGAUUGCACUACUGCAUUUCAGCCUGGGUGACAGAGCAAGACUCCAUCUCAUGGAAAAAAAAAAAGAAAAGAAAAAAACUGGCUAGGGUUUAUCAUUUGGGGAGCAAAGACAGAAUAUAAUGUGGUAUAAGUAAAUAGUUCAAGUACUUAUUGUGCCUCCCGAGUAGCUGGGAUUACAGGCAUGUGCCACCAUACCCGGCUAAUUUUUGUAGCAUUAGUAGAGAUGGGGUUUCACCAUGUUGCCCAGGCUGGUCUUGAACUUCUGACCUCAGGCGAUCUGCCUGCCUUGGCCUCCCAAAGUGUUGGGAUUACAGGCGUGGGCACUGUGCCUAGCUGAGUUGUGUAACUUAAAUGGGUGAUCCGAGAUAUGUCAAUUGUAUCUCAAUGAAGUUGUUACCAAAUAAAUUACCAAAAUACUAGAAUAGUUUAUAACCUAGGCAUUUGGGUUCAAAUUACUGUCUUUGUGGUUCUCAUGCCAUUCUUUAAUUUUGUGAGAUUGCUUUUAAAGAGAAAGGCCACAUCACAUAGUGGUCAAAGAGCAAGGGCUUUAGAAUCAGACUUGUGGCUUUAGCACUUUCAAGCUAUGUACCUUUGAGCAAAUUAUCCCACCUUUCUAAGUUUCCUAAACUGUAAAUUGAGACUAAUAUCUAUCUCUUUGGGCUAUUGUUAGGAGCCCAUAGCAAAUAUGUAGUAAGUGUUAGCUACUAUUAAUGUUAAAACAAAUGGACUUCCCAUCAGCAUGGGCUAUCUAAAACAGAGAUGAACAAAUCCUGCCUGUGAGUAAAGCACCAUGCAGAAUGAUCACAAUGGAGAAUAACUCCAGAAGUUCGUUUCAACAAAGAUCUAGUGAAUGGUAGGCACUCUGCAGUGGGUGUGGCGGGGCUGGGAGGAGGUUAAAAUAAAGUGUAGCUCCCUCAACCCCUAGAAAUGUACUGUCUGGUGGGUGGCACUAGGGGAAGAGGGUGUACCUCUUUGUACCAUUGAUUUUAAUAUAUUUUUGAGAUAUGGGUUUGCAUCAGGUAUUCAAGAGCAAGAGGAGAGACCAAUGAAAGGAAUUUAUGGGAAGGUAUACUGCAGGAGAUGAGACCCGAGCUGCGUCUUGAAUGAGAAAAUUUAGCCUGAUAAAGGCUGGGAGAGUUUUUCUGGUGGUGUAAACAGCACAAGCAAAUGCCUGAAAAGCCCAUUUAUAUGCUGACUCUCAAAUUGCUGUCUCCUAAAUUCUGGGUUCCUAUGUCAAAUGUAAGUGAAAAUCUUCCAUUGGAUGACUAAUACUUUUUUUCCCCAAACUUUUAAGUUCAGGGGUACAUGUGCAGGAUGUGCAGGUUUGUUACAUAGAUAAAUGUGUGCCAUGACGGUUUGCUGUACAGAUCAUCCCAUCAUCUGGGUGUUAAGCCCAGCAUCCAUUAGCUGUUUUUCCUGAUGCUCUCUCUCCUCCCGCUUUCUACCCUCUGACAGGCCCCAGUGUAUGUUGUUUCCCCCCAUGUGUCCAUGUGUUAUCAAUCAGCUCCCACUUAUAAAAGAGGACAUGCAGUAUUUCUGUUCCUGUGUUCGUUUGCUGAGGGUAAUGGCUUCCAGCUCCAUCUAUAUCCCUACAAAGGACAUGAUAUUAUUCCUUCUUAUAGCUGCAUAGUAUUUCAUGGUAUACGUGUGCCAUAUUUUCUUUAGCCAGUCUAUCACUGAUGGGGAUUUAGGUUGGUUCUCUCUUUGCUAUUGUGAAGAGUGUCACAGUGAACAUAUGCAUGCAUGCGUCUUUAUAAUAAAUGAUUUCUAUUCCUUUGGGUUUAUACCCAGCAAUGGGAUUGCUGGGUCAAAUUGUAUUUCUGCAUCUAGGUCUUUGAGGAAUUGCCACACUGUCUUCAACAAUGGUUGAGCUAAUUUAUACUCCUACCAACAAUGUAAAAAGUGUUCCUUUUAGUUCGUAAUCUAGUCAACAUCUGUUGUUGUUUUUUUCUCCUCCUCGUCCUCCUCCUUCCUGUACUUUAAGUUCUGAGGUACAUGUGCAGAUCUUACAGGAUUGUUGCAUAGGUACACACAUGCCAUGGCGGUUUGCUGUCUCCAUCCCCCCAUCACCUACAUCGGGCAUUUCUCCCAGUGUUAUCCCAACAUACCCAGUGUGUGAUGUUCCCCUCCCUGUGCCUAUGUGUUCUCAUUGUUCAAUACCCACCUAUGAGUGAGAACUUGCAGUGUUUGGUUUUCUGUUCUUGUGUCAGGUUGCUGAGAAUGAUGGUUUCCAGAUGCAUCCAUGUCCCUACAAAGGACACGAACUCAUUGUUUUUUUUAUAGUAUUCCAUAGUGUAUAUGUGCCACAUUUUCUUUGUCUAGUCUAUCAUUGAUGGGCAUUUGGGUUGGUUCCAGGUCUUUGCUGUUGUAAACAGUGCCACAGUGAACAUAUGUGUGCAUGUGUUUUUAUAAUAGAAUGAUUUAUAAUCCUUUGGGUAUAUACUCAGUAAUGGGAUUGCUUGGGCAAAUGGAAUUUCUAUUUCUAUAUCUUUAACGAAUCACCACACUGUCUUCCACAAUGGAUGAACUAAUUUACACUCCCAACAGUGUAAAAGUGUUCCUAUUUCUCCACAUCCUCUCCAGAAUCUGUUGCCUCCAGAUUUUUUAAUAAUCACCAUUCUAACUGGCAUGUGAUGGUAUCUCAAUGUGGUUUUGAUUUGCAUUUCCCUAAUGACCGCUGAUGAUGAGCAUUUUUCAUAUAUUUGUUGGCCUCAUAAAUGUCUUUUUU